rnacentral:rRNA from 1 species
UACGUAGGGUGCAAGCGUUGUCCGGAAUUAUUGGGCGUAAAGAGCUCGUAGGCGGCUUGUCACGUCGACUGUGAAAACCCGGGGCUCAACUCCGGGCCUGCAGUCGAUACGGGCUGGCUUGAGUGCGGUAGGGGAGACUGGAAUUCCUGGUGUAGCGGUGAAAUGCGCAGAUAUCGGGAGGAACACCAGUGGCGAAGGCGG